rnacentral:tRNA from 1 species
GGGAGUAUAGCUCAGUGGUAGAGCGUCUGACUGAAGAUCGAGAGGUCCCCGGUUCGAAUCCGUGUGUUUUCU